UACAGAGGGUGCGAGCGUUGUCCGGAAUCACUGGGCGUAAAGGGCGCGUAGGUGGCGCUGCAAGUCGGUGGUGAAAGCUCGUCGCUUAACGACGAGUCGGCCAUCGGAAACUGCAGGGCUGGAGCACUGUAGGGGCUAAUGGAAUUCCGGGUGUAGCGGUGGAAUGCGUAGAGAUCCGGAAGAACACCAGUGGCGAAGGCGGUUAGCUGGGCAGUUGCUGACACUGAGGCGCGACAGCGUGGGGAGCAAACAGGAUUAGA
rnacentral:rRNA from 1 species